UACGGAGGGUGCAAACGUUGCUCGGAAUCAUUGGGCGUAAAGCGCGUGUAGGCGGUACGCUAAGUCGAGUGUGAAAGCCCUGGGCUUAACCCAGGAAGUGCGCUCGAAACUGGCGCGCUAGAGUACGGGAGAGGGUAGCGGAAUUCCCGGUGUAGAGGUGAAAUUCGUAGAUAUCGGGAGGAACACCAGUGGCGAAGGCGGCUACCUGGACCGAUACUGACGCUGAGACGCGAAAGCGUGGGUAGCAAACAGG
rnacentral:rRNA from 1 species